ensembl:lncRNA
GAGGAUGUGACGCAAGUGACUUCUGAAAAAGAAAAACAGUGGGAUUUUUUUUAAAGCUUUUCAGCAAUAAUUAAGUAUUGGCUUAAAGGAAAGUUGUGAAAGCCAUAGAAACAAGUGGAAACGAUGAAAAUGUGUGAAACAACUAAAGAAAUAGUACUUUACAACUAAAUACACAUAAUACAAUUAAAAGAUUGAUGGGUAUCUGAAAGUAAUAAAAUCAGUGGUUUGGCAUGAUGUGACCAUGUAAGUGCUCAUUUUCCAUUUUGCAAUCUAUGAAGUACGAAUGUCUGGAUCCAUUAAAAUAUUAAUAACAAUAUGAAAUAUUGAAAAUAACCAUAUUAAAAAAAGGAAAAUCUCUUUGUGUUUCGCUGUGUUAACAUAACUAUGGUCUUUAAAGUACAUUCAGAUUUAGCAUACUGACUCACUUCACCUCAGAAAUCAUUAUGCAUCAGUCUUGCCUGCAUUAGCUGCCUGUAUUUACCAGGUAUUGGAUAUAUACUAAACUUUUCAAGCACACUACUAUUAUGAAGACUGUUAAAACUUCUGUAUGUGACUCAGUGAGUGCAAGAACAAUGGUGUGAAUUAAAGCAAUAUAAAAUUGUUAAAAUAGUUUUACACAAUAUGUGUUAAAGACACACAAGAUGGUUAUUCUAAGUAAUCACUUUAACUCUAAGCAGUAAAAAAACAACACAAAAGAAAAAACAAUAAAAACAAAUAAACCAGUGCACACAGAUCUGCCCCAAAUGUAAUAAAAAAUAAAUAAAUAAACUAUAACAAAGUACAGAAAGAAAAUCUAUAUCAGGACUGCAGAGGAUCAUUACUCUAUCCUCCAUAGGAAUAAGUGGUCUUUGUGUGGUUUAUACAAUUACUGGAUGCUACAUAAACACAUUAUUUACAGGAGUCUCAUUAUCAUUAAAGUCUGUAUAGCACCGUUUAAUCCCAUACAACAUAAUAAUGUUUCGUUUAGUUGAAAUAUUAGUCCUUUGUACACGUCUAAAUCCAAUUAAAUGUAGAGUGGAAGUGACUCAGUUAGGCUCUGCCGUUAGUGAUUAAGGCAUUUAGCUGAUGAAAACACGCCGUCUCUAGAACUUGUGAUAUUAGUCCUAAUUCUUCUGUAUAAUAUUUUUUAAAUACAAAUAAACCUAAAAAUUUGCAGUGAGAAGUUUAGUGGCAGAAAACAGCUGUAUUUCCUUAUUUUGUACUUAAUAAUCUAAUAAUAGUUUGGUGCGAUUAGGCUGAUGCAACUGUAAUUUUCCCUUCUAGAUCUCGGUAUGGAAUUUACAGCCUUAGGAACAGCAAAGAUAUUGUACAGGACCCUCAAACUCCCAAGCCUCUGGUAGAGGACCUGAGCUUGAAGGACCACCCAGAGGGGACAGUGUGGAA